AUAGUCCAUAACUGCCAUCCAGUGGAUCGAAGCAAUGGCAGUGUUGCACUUUGGUUU
rnacentral:pre_miRNA from 1 species